GAUGAAGAACGUAGCGAAAUGCGAUAAGUAAUGUGAAUUGCAGAAUUCAGUGAAUCAUCGAAUCUUUGAACGCACAUUGCGCCCGCCAGUAUUCUGGCGGGCAUGCCUGUUCGAGCGUCAUUUCAACCAUCAAGCCCCAGGCUUGUGUUGGGGACCUGCGGCUGCCGCAGGCCCUGAAAACCAGUGGCGGGCUCGCUGUCACACCGGGCGUAGUAGAUUUUAUCUCGCUCAGGGCGUGCUGCGGGUUCCGGCCGUUAAAAAGCCUUUUUACCCAAGGUUGACCUCGGAUCAGGUAGGAAGACCCGCUGAACUUAAGCAUAUCAAUAAGCGGAGGA
rnacentral:misc_RNA from 1 species